UUGAAUCCAAUCUUCAGAGCACUGCAAA
rnacentral:sRNA from 1 species